rnacentral:rRNA from 1 species
GACGAACGCUGGCGGCGUGCCUAAUACAUGCAAGUUGAGCGCUGAAGGUUGGUACUUGUACCAACUGGAUGAGCAGCGAACGGGUGAGUAACGCGUGGGGAAUCUGCCUUUGAGCGGGGGACAACAUUUGGAAACGAAUGCUAAUACCGCAUAAAAACUUUAAACACAAGUUUUAAGUUUGAAAGAUGCAAUUGCAUCACUCAAAGAUGAUCCCGCGUUGUAUUAGCUAGUUGGUGAGGUAAAGGCUCACCAAGGCGAUGAUACAUAGCCGACCUGAGAGGGUGAUCGGCCACAUUGGGACUGAGACACGGCCCAAACUACUACGGGAGGCAGCAGUAGGGAAUCUUCGGCAAUGGACGAAAGUCUGACCGAGCAACGCCGCGGGAGUGAAGAAGGUUUUCGGAUCGUAAAACUCUGUUGGUAGAGAAGAACGUUGGUGAGAGUGGAAAGCUCAUCAAGUGACGGUAACUACCCAGAAAGGGACGGCUAACUACGUG